CCUACGGGUGGCAGCAGUGAGGAAUAUUGGUCAAUGGACGAGAGUCUGAACCAGCCAAGUAGCGUGAAGGAUGACUGCCCUAUGGGUUGUAAACUUCUUUUAUAUGGGAAUAAAAUGUUCCACGUGUGGGAUUUUGUAUGUACCAUAUGAAUAAGGAUCGGCUAACUCCGUGCCAGCAGCCGCGGUAAUACGGAGGAUCCGAGCGUUAUCCGGAUUUAUUGGGUUUAAAGGGAGCGUAGGUGGAUUGUUAAGUCAGUUGUGAAAGUUUGCGGCUCAACCGUAAAAUUGCAGUUGAAACUGGCAGUCUUGAGUACAGUAGAGGUGGGCGGAAUUCGUGGUGUAGCGGUGAAAUGCUUAGAUAUCACGAAGAACUCCGAUCGCGAAGGCAGUUCACUGGACUGCAACUGACACUGAGGCUCGAAAGUGUGGGUAUCAAACAGGAUUAGAUACCCUUGUAGUC
rnacentral:rRNA from 1 species